rnacentral:rRNA from 1 species
UGGGGAAUAUUGGACAAUGGGGGCAACCCUGAUCCAGCCAUGCCGCGUGAGUGAAGAAGGCCCUCGGGUUGUAAAGCUCUUUUGUCCGGAAAGAAAAGCUUCGGGUUAAUACCCCGGGGUUCUGACGGUACCGGAAGAAUAAGCACCGGCUAACUUCGUGCCAGCAGCCGCGGUAAUACGAAGGGUGCAAGCGUUACUCGGAAUUACUGGGCGUAAAGCGUGCGUAGGUGGUUGUUUAAGUCUGAUGUGAAAGCCCUGGGCUCAACCUGGGAAUGGCAUUGGNAGCUGGGCAGCGAGAGUGCGGUAGAGUGAAGUGGAAUUCCCGGUGUAGCAGUAAAAUGCGUAGAGAUCGGGAGGAACAUCUGUGGCGAAGGCGACUGCCUGGACCAGCACUGACACUGAGGCACGAAAGCGUGGGG